rnacentral:lncRNA from 1 species
CCGUAGAUGACAUAGCAGUACACCUUGCUUAUCAUCAUUUGUAUUGCUUUCAUUGGUGUGGAUUCAAUAACAGAUGCUGGGCUAUGAACAAAGUUAGCACUUACUGCUAAAGAGUCGAGCUUGAUGUUGUUAUCAUCUUAUCAGAGUGAAUCCAAACUUAAUGAAAGUCUAUAUUUGAUCACCUGGCGUCUAAUUUUUACAUGCUCUCAAGGACGCAAACAAGAAAAAU